AAAGCUCGCGAGAUCAGGAUGGUCUCACGAGGCUAUGUUGCUCUGGCAUUCCCCCUCAAACUUCCUUGGAUGUACCAAGUCGGGUUGAGGUUCCCCCUCCUGGAUUCCACUGGCAUCUUCUGCUUCCUACACUCUGGUCAAUCCAUCUGUCACUCCUGCCUGUGGAGGUUGCCUCGGAUCUCUCGUCAGCUCCAUCAGCCGCCCUCCAGUCACCACCCACUUAUUAAAACGGACACUAGUUCCCUCUGUGCUUACUCUCCCCGGCUUGGUUUCUCCGACUAAGGUCAAUCCCGCUUCGACGUUCAGGCCUCGUUCCAGGCUUCUAGUAGCUCUAACCUCUGUUCUGCAUUGUUUUCCUUUAAAUAAACAUCUUAAACUUG